rnacentral:rRNA from 1 species
AUUGAAGCUGGCGGCAGGCCUAACACAUGCAAGUCGAGCGAGCGGCGGACGGGUGAGUAAUGCCUAGGAAUCUGCCUGGUAGGGGGGGAUAACUACUGGAAACGGUAGCUAAUACCGCAUACCAUCGGAUGUGCCCAGAUGGGAGUAGCUUGUAGGUGAGGUAAAGGCUCACCUAGGCGACGAUCCCUAGAUGGUCUGAGAGGAUGACCAGCCACACUGGAACUGAGACAAGGUCCAGACGCCUACGGUAGGCAGCAGUGGGGAAUAUUGCACAAUGGGCGCAAGCCUGAUGCAGCCAUGCCGCGUGUAUGAAGAAGGCCUUCGGGUUGUAAAGUACUUUCAGCGGGGAGGCGUUACCCGCAGAAGAAGCACCGGCUAACUCCGUGCCAGCAGCCGCGGUAAUAC